rnacentral:rRNA from 1 species
GAUGAACGCUGGCGGCGUGCCUAACACAUGCAAGUCGAGCGAACCCUUCGGGGUGAGCGGCGGACGGGUGAGUAACGCGUGGGUAACCUGCCCUAUACACACGGAUAACGUACCGAAAGGUACGCUAAUACGGGAUAAAGUUGUUGGAUGGCAUCUUCUAACAAUCAAAGCUCCGGCGGUAUAGGAUGGACCCGGGUCUGAUUAGCUAGUUGGUGAGGUAAUGGCUCACCAAGGCGACGAUCAGUAGCCGACCUGAGAGGGUGAUCGGCCACACUGGAACUGAGACACGGUCCAGACUCCUACGGAAGGCAGCAGUGGGGAAUAUUGCACAAUGGGCGAAAGCCUGAUGCAGCAACGCCGCGUGAGCGAUGAGGGUCUUCGGAUCGUAAAGCUCUGUCCUCAAGGAAGAUAAUGACGGUACUUGAGGAGGAAGCCCCGGCUAACUACGUGCCAGCAGCCGCCGUAA